GAGGAUAUAACUCAGUGGUAGAGUGCAUGCCUAGCAUGCAUGAGGUCCUGGGUUCAAUUCCCAGUACCUCU
rnacentral:tRNA from 1 species